rnacentral:rRNA from 1 species
UACGGAGGGUGCAAGCGUUGCUCGGAAUCACUGGGCGUAAAGCGACCGCAGGCGGCCUGACAAGUCGGAUGUGAAAGCCCUGGGCUCAACUCAGGAAUUGCAUUCGAAACUGGCAGGCUCGAGUACGGGAGAGGGGGGUGGAAUUCCUGGUGUAGGGGUGAAAUUCGUUGAUAUCAGGAGGAACACCGGCGGCGAAGGCGGCCCCCUGGGUCAAGAUUGACGCUCAUGCACGAAAGCGUGGGGAGCAAACAGG